GGGGGCAUUAUGCAGCACUGUGAUAAGGAACUCCGAGUGCCUGACAAUCAGGCUGUCCAUCUGUGCAAAACGCAGGUGAAGAAAGGGCCGGGCAAGACCGGUGCCAGCCGCCGCGGUAAUACCGGCGGCUCGAGUGGUGGCCACUAUUACUGGGCUUAAAGGGUCCGUAGCUGGACUGUUAAGUCCCUUGGGAAAUCCGCCGGCUUAACUGGUGGGCGUUCAGGGGAUACUGGCAGUCUAGGGACCGGGAGAGGUGCGAGGUACUCCAGGGGUAGGAGUGAAAUCCUGUAAUCC
rnacentral:rRNA from 1 species